rnacentral:misc_RNA from 1 species
GAUGAAGAACGUAGCGAAAUGCGAUAAGUAAUGUGAAUUGCAGAAUUCAGUGAAUCAUCGAAUCUUUGAACGCACAUUGCGCCCCUUGGUAUUCCGAGGGGCAUGCCUGUUCGAGCGUCAUUAUAACCCUCAAGCUCAGCUUGGUGUUGGGGCCUGCUGCAGUGGCAGCCCUUAAAAUCAGUGGCGGCGCCAUCUGGCUCUAAGCGUAGUAAUUCUUCUCGCUAUGGAGUCCUGGUGGAUGCUUGCCAUCAACCCCCAAUUUUUCUAUGGUUGACCUCGGAUCAGGUAGGGAUACCCGCUGAACUUAAGCAUAUCAUAAGCGGAGGA